UACGUAGGGAGCGAGCGUUGUCCGGAAUUACUGGGCGUAAAGAGUGCGUAGGCGGCAUAUCAAGUCAGGUGUGAAAUACUUCAGCUCAACUGAGGAAUUGCAUUUGAAACUGAUAAGCUUGAGUAUAGGAGAGGAAAGCGGAAUUCCUGGUGUAGCGGUGAAAUGCAUAGAGAUCAGGAGGAACACCGGUGGCGAAGGCGGCUUUCUGGACUAAAACUGACGUUGAGGCACGAAAGCGUGGGGAGCAAACAGGAUUAGAUACCCUGGUAGUCCACGCGGUAAACGAUGGAUACUAGGUGUGGGAGGUAUCGACCCCUUCCGUGCCGUAGUUAACGCAAUAAGUAUCCCGCCUGGGGAGUACGGCCGCAAGGUUGAA
rnacentral:rRNA from 1 species